AGUCACCGUGCUCGGCUGACACUCCGGGUUAGCUGUGGGUGUCGAAAGGCUGUUGUUAUAGGAAGGGAGAAUAAGAGUAACACCUAGGUAUGAGGUGCAGACGAAGUGCAAGACACAAGUACUUCAAAGAGAGAACGGGGUAGCCGAGUAUAAGGUGCAGACGAAGUGCAAGACACAAAUACUAGGCGUACCAGGUGAGGAAAGAUAACAGAGUACGAGGUGCAGACGAAGUGCAAGACACAAGUACUCUGAAAUGUCGAGGAAAAGAGUAUAUAGGUUAGAAAAGGAAUAAACAAAGACUUUACUUUAAACAGUAAGCCGGACAGCGACAACCGAGUACUGAGACUGAUGAAUGACACAAGGCACUGGAGUCGA